rnacentral:lncRNA from 1 species
ACCUUGGUAAAAUAGUGAUAGUGGCAGACUUUUCUCAUAAGUGGAUAAAUCUAGUAGACAAUAAAGACAUAUACAAAAAUUACAGUCAAUAUAAUUGAUUUAAUAGAUGUUUAUGCUCCUUAAGAGAAUAUACAUUUAUUGCUAUGGUUCAGGAAUAUUUGUAAAAAUUGAACAUGUACUUAGCCACAAAGAAAAUUAUUUUUUAUUAGCCGGGCAAGGUGGCAUUUGGGAGCCCGAGGCUGGUCUCGAACUCCUGGCCUCAAGUGAUCUGCCUGCCUCAGCCUCCCAAAGUGCUGGGAUUACAGGCAUGAGCCACUGUGCCUGGCCAAGAAAGGCUCUUAAACAUAUAAAAAGUUGCAUAACUUCACAGUAAAAGAAAAGCAAAUGAAAACCACACUGAGUGACAGAUAAAUGCAGUAAGUUAAUCUUGAUUGGAUCCUGGACUGGAAGAGAUGCAAUAUUUUGGGUAAAUUAGGGGAAAUUUUAGUAUAGACUAAUAUAUUCAGGGGUCAGUGAUCUUUUUCUGAAAGAGCCAGAUAAUAAAUACUUUGGAUUUUGCAGACCUUAUGGUCUUUGAUUUAUCUACUGACCUGUUACAGCACAGAAGCAGAUGUAGAUAAUACCCAAGUAAUGAGUGUGGCUGUGUUUCAAUUAAACUUAAUAAAAACUGGCAGUGGGCCAUACUUGGUCAUUCAUGCAUUAGAUGAUAUUAGUAAACUGAUGUUAAAUAUCUUGUGUGUUCAGAGAUAGUGAGAUUGUGGUUAUAUAGGAGAAAACAUCUAAAGUAGGUAGGGGUAAAAUAUUGUGAUUGAUGUCUCCCUCCAAAAAAAUUGUACAAGUAUAUGCAAAAAAAUAAAAAGCCAGGCAAAGUGGUAGGUGCUUAUAGUUCCAGCUACUCCGGAGGCUGAGGCAGGAGCAUUACUUGAGCCCAGAGGUUUGCUUUAAAAAAAAAAAAAAA